UGGGGAAUAUUGGACAAUGGGGGCAACCCUGAUCCAGCCAUGCCGCGUGCGGGAAGAAGGCCUUCGGGUUGUAAACCGCUUUUGUCAGGGAAGAAAUCCUUUGAGCUAAUACCUCGGGGGAAUGACGGUACCUGAAGAAUAAGCACCGGCUAACUACGUGCCAGCAGCCGCGGUAAUACGUAGGGUGCAAGCGUUAAUCGGAAUUACUGGGCGUAAAGCGUGCGCAGUCGGUUAUGCAAGACAGAUGUGAAAUCCCCGGGCUCAACCUGGGAACUGCAUUUGUGACUGCAUAGCUGGAGUGCGGAAGAGGGGGAUGGAAUUCCGCGUGUAGCAGUGAAAGGCGUAGAUAUGCGGAGGAACACCGAUGGCGAAGGCAAUCCCCUGGGCCUGCACUGACGCUCAUGCACGAAAGCGUGGGGAGCAAACA
rnacentral:rRNA from 1 species